UCCCCGAUAGCUCAACGGUAGAGCGCGCGGCUGUUAACCGCUAGGUUCUAGGUUCGAAUCCUAGUCGGGGAGCCA
rnacentral:tRNA from 1 species